rnacentral:rRNA from 1 species
AACGAACGCUGGCGGCAUGCCUAACACAUGCAAGUCGAACGAGACCUUCGGGUCUAGUGGCGCACGGGUGCGUAACGCGUGGGAACCUGCCCUUAGGUUCGGAAUAACUCCCCGAAAGGGGUGCUAAUACCGGAUAAUGUCUUCGGACCAAAGAUUUAUCGCCUUUGGAUGGGCCCGCGUUGGAUUAGCUAGUUGGUAGGGUAAAAGCCUACCAAGGCGACGAUCCAUAGCUGGUCUGAGAGGAUGAUCAGCCACACUGGGACUGAGACACGGCCCAGACUCGUACGGGAGGAAGCCGUAGGGACUAUUCCGGAAGGGGCGAAAGCCUGACGGUGCAACGCCGCGUGAGUGAUGAAGGGCUUCGGAUCGUAAAACUAUGUAAUUAGGGAAGAACAAAUGUGUAAGUAAAUAUGCACGUCUUGACGGUACCUAAUCAGAAAGCGACGGCUAGCUACGUG